rnacentral:rRNA from 1 species
CUGCGGAGGAUCAUUAAUGAAAAUAUCAAGGAGCUGUUGCUGACUUCGGUCGUGCACGCUUCNUUUAUUUCAUCCACUCACACCUGUGCACUUUAUUAAUGGAGGGGUAACACUUUCCAUUACUAUCACACACUUGUACCUUCAGAACGUCUUGAUAAUAAAAAGUAACAACUUUCAACAACGGAUCUCUUGGCUCUCRCAUCGAUGAARAACGCAGCGAAAUGCGAUAAGUAAUGUGAAUUGCAGAAUUCAGUGAAUCAUCGAAUCUUUGAACGCACCUUGCACUCUUUGGUAUUCCGAAGAGUAUGCCUGUUCGAGUGUCAUGAACCUCUCAACUGUAACUUUUAGUUGCAGCUUGGAUAUGGGGCACGUUGGCAUUUGUUGUCGACCGCUCUGAAAUGUAUUAGCCACGAAUGUUAAUCUUCUUAAGCGUAAUAAUUACAAUGCGCUGAUAAGAUUUAAGUCGCGGCUUACAAAACCUCAUUUCAUUCUAUUUGACCUCGAAUCAGGUAGGACUACCCGCUGAACUUAAGCAUAU